GAUGAACGCUGGCGGCGUGCCUAAUACAUGCAAGUCGAGCGAACAGACGAGGAGCUUGCUCCUCUGACGUUAGCGGCGGACGGGUGAGUAACACGUGGAUAACCCACCUAUAAGACUGGGAUAACUUCGGGAAACCGGAGCUAAUACCGGAUAAUAUAUUGAACCGCAUGGUUCAAUAGUGAAAGACGGUUUUGCUGUCACUUAUAGAUGGAUCCGCGCCGCAUUAGCUAGUUGGUAAGGUAACGGCUUACCAAGGCAACGAUGCGUAGCCGACCUGAGAGGGGGAUCGGCCACACUGGAACUGAGACACGGUCCAGACUCCUACGGGAGGCAGCAGUAGGGAAUCUUCCGCAAUGGGCGAAAGCCUGACGGAGCAACGCCGCGUGAGUGAUGAAGGUCUUCGGAUCGUAAAACUCUGUUAUUAGGGAAGAACAAAUGUGUAAGUAACUAUGCACGUCUUGACGGUACCUAAUCAGAAAGCCACGGCUAACUACGUG
rnacentral:rRNA from 1 species